UAGCUCUGGAAGCAGCUAUAAUAUGAAUCAGAUUGUGGGUAACCUGCAGUCUGAGUCCUCACCUGUCUUAGUACAAGACAACGGGACCCAGACUGAGAGUUACACCGAAACUUACAGACGGAGAGUAGCGACCAGAGAUACUGACACCCGACAGACCAAAAGGACCAAGGCCAAAAAAGGUAAUUACUGCCUCUGAGCAAAAACUAAAUCAGAUUAUUAUACGAGGAAUAUUAGUUUCUAGUCAUUUUUGUCUUUGUGAUAAAGCUCUAAACAUUUGGUUUGUUUUUUUCUGCAGGAAACAAGUCAUGGAGUCCUCUUUGGAUGCGGAUCAUUUUUUUCUGUCUUUUCAACCUGUUUAGUUAUGGUAAGUGACCUCAAGCUCCAAGAUACAAUUAUAACAUUGACAGCUGGCAUUAUUAUUUUUUUUAAUUUUUAAGUCUGUGAUUUGUGAAGUGUAAGAUUUUUAACAUGUGUGCUUUGUGUCCUACAGUAACCACCAAAAUAUACAUCGACCAGACAAUCGAGCAAGGCAUAAACAGAUAUCUGGUUGACACCAUGCCAAACUUUGCUCUGGAGUCACAAGGUAUGCCAUCAUGAGCCCCCCCAUUCAUUUUUGACACUAUACAAAAAUCAUAAUUUUGCUUUGAUCUAAUGCUGAGGGUCAAGCUUAAAAUUAUUAAUAGGUCUCAACUCUUUGCAAUGCCUUGGAAAUUGUUUGGAACUUGACCUCUAACUUUUCUUUCUUUUUGUUCUCUUAGGUGCUAGAGUGUUAGAAGACUUAUCUUCAGACACCUAUAUGGGCAAGGAAAACCCUAGCCAGAUAUGUAAAAAGAAACUCUACUGGUGGUGUUCAAAUAAAAAAUAUAGGACAGUCAUACAGGUAAGCAACACACAGCCAUGACAAUAUUUUGUUUAAAUAUACAUUUCAAAUAACAUUGUUAACAGUCAAAGUUGUGGAACUUUUCAGACUUAAAUAUUUAUCUUUCUUUUCUUUCUAUCUUUCCAUCAGGCCAAACCAUUUCUGAAUCCAGGUGAGUGCUGGCCUUUUGCAGGAGACCAAGGACACUUAGUGAUUUCAUUGUCUCACGCAGUCCACAUCAGUCAUGUGACUCUUAGCCACAUGGCAAAAAGCCAGUGCCCACAUGGAACCAUAUCUAGUGCUCCAAGACGAUUCUCAGUAUACGUAAGUCAGAUAUAUUCCUGUCAUUAUCCCACUUAUACUGAAUACAUACCUCAUUUACAUGUUGAUAUCCACACAAUGUACAACAAUAUACUGAAGUGAUCUCUUUUCUUUUUCCUUUGUAGGGAAUGACAACACCAAAUGAAGAAGGUGUCUUCCUAGGAAAACAUGUUUAUGAUUCAAAUGGUGCAGUACAUCAAAGUUUUCCUAUACAGAACCCAGACGAAGGUGUCUACAAAUUUGUGAAGCUGAAGAUAGAGAGUAACUGGGGGAACACUGACUACACCUGCCUCUAUGGCUUCAAGGUGCAUGGUAAACUUCACCUGUGAUCUUUUCCAGAGUGAACACAGUGUAGUGAACACUGU
rnacentral:lncRNA from 1 species